UGCAAGUCGAGCGGUAGCACAGAGAGCUUGCUCUCGGGUGACGAGCGGCGGACGGGUGAGUAAUGUCUGGGAAACUGCCUGAUGGAGGGGGAUAACUACUGGAAACGGUAGCUAAUACCGCAUAAUGUCGCAAGACCAAAGUGGGGGACCUUCGGGCCUCAUGCCAUCAGAUGUGCCCAGAUGGGAUUAGCUAGUAGGUGGGGUAACGGCUCACCUAGGCGACGAUCCCUAGCUGGUCUGAGAGGAUGACCAGCCACACUGGAACUGAGACACGGUCCAGACUCCUACGGGAGGCAGCAGUGGGGAAUAUUGCACAAUGGGCGCAAGCCUGAUGCAGCCAUGCCGCGUGUGUGAAGAAGGCCUUCGGGUUGUAAAGCACUUUCAGCGGGGAGGAAGGCGUUGAGGUUAAUAACCUUGUCGAUUGACGUUACCCGCAGAAGAAGCACCGGCUAACUCCGUGCCAGCAGCCGCGGUAAUACGGAGGGUGCAAGCGUUAAUCGGAAUUACUGGGCGUAAAGCGCACGCAGGCGGUCUGUCAAGUCGGAUGUGCCGGGCUCAACCUGGGAACUGCAUUCGAAACUGGCAUGCUAGAGUCUUGUAGGGGGUAGAAUUCCAGGUGUAGCGGUGAAAUGCGUAGAGAUCUGGAGGAAUACCGGUGGCGAAGGCGGCCCCCUGGACAAAGACUGACGCUCAGGUGCGAAAGCGUGGGGAGCAAACAGGAUUAGAUACCCUGGUAGUCCACGCCGUAAACGAUGUCGAUUUGGAGGUUGUGCCCUUGAGGCGUGGCUUCCGGAGCUAACGCGUUAAAUCGACCGCCUGGGGAGUACGGCCGCAAGGUUAAAACUCAAAUGAAUUGACGGGGGCCCGCACAAGCGGUGGAGCAUGUGGUUUAAUUCGAUGCAACGCGAAGAACCUUACCUGGUCUUGACAUCCACAGAACUUUCCAGAGAUGGAUUGGUGCCUUCGGGAACUGUGAGACAGGUGCUGCAUGGCUGUCGUCAGCUCGUGUUGUGAAAUGUUGGGUUAAGUCCCGCAACGAGCGCAACCCUUAUCCUUUGUUGCCAGCGGUUCGGCCGGGAACUCAAAGGAGACUGCCAGUGAUAAACUGGAGGAAGGUGGGGAUGACGUCAAGUCAUCAUGGCCCUUACGACCAGGGCUACACACGUGCUACAAUGGCAUAUACAAAGAGAAGCGACCUCGCGAGAGCAAGCGGACCUCAUAAAGUAUGUCGUAGUCCGGAUUGGAGUCUGCAACUCGACUCCAUGAAGUCGGAAUCGCUAGUAAUCGUAGAUCAGAAUGCUACGGUGAAUACGUUCCCGGGCCUUGUACACACCGCCCGUCACACCAUGGGAGUGGGUUGCAAAAGAAGUAGGUAGCUUAACCUUCGGGAGGGCGCUU
rnacentral:rRNA from 1 species